UGAGCCAAGUUUAGGGUUUUCUCAAAACCCAAGCAGUAUUGAACUGAAGAGUUUGAUCAUGGCUCAGAUUGAACGCUGGCGGCAGGCCUAACACAUGCAAGUCGAGCGGAUGAAGGGAGCUUGCUCCYGGAUUCAGCGGCGGACGGGUGAGUAAUGCCUAGGAAUCUGCCUGGUAGUGGGGGAUAACGUCCGGAAACGG
rnacentral:rRNA from 1 species